GAUGAACGCUGGCGGCGUGCCUAAUACAUGCAAGUCGAGCGAACGGACGAGAAGCUUGCUUUUCUGAUGUUAGCGGCGGACGGGUGAGUAACACGUGGAUAACCUACCUAUAAGACUGGGAUAACUUCGGGAAACCGGAGCUAAUACCGGAUAAUAUUUUGAACCGCAUGGUUCAAAAGUGAAAGACGGUCUUGCUGUCACUUAUAGAUGGAUCCGCGCUGCAUUAGCUAGUUGGUAAGGUAACGGCUUACCAAGGCAACGAUGCAUAGCCGACCUGAGAGGGUGAUCGGCCACACUGGAACUGAGACACGGUCCAGACUCCUACGGGAGGCAGCAGUAGGGAAUCUUCCGCAAUGGGCGAAAGCCUGACGGAGCAACGCCGCGUGAGUGAUGAAGGUCUUCGGAUCGUAAAACUCUGUUAUUAGGGAAGAACAUAUGUGGAAGUAACUGUGCACAUCUUGACGGUACCUAAUCAGAAAGCCACGGCUAACUACGUG
rnacentral:rRNA from 1 species